rnacentral:rRNA from 1 species
GAUGAACGCUGGCGGUAUGCUUAACACAUGCAAGUCGAACGGUCUUUUCGGAGACAGUGGCGGACGGGUGAGUAACGCGUAAGAAUCUACCUUCAGGUCGGGGACAACCACUGGAAACGGUGGCUAAUACCGGAUGUGCCGAGAGGUGAAAGGCUUGCUGCCUGAAGAAGAGCUUGCGUCUGAUUAGCUAGUUGGUGGUGUAAGAGACUACCAAGGCGACGAUCAGUAGCUGGUCUGAGAGGAUGAUCAGCCACACUGGGACUGAGACACGGCCCAGACUCCUACGGGAGGCAGCAGUGGGGAAUUUUCCGGCAAUGGGCGAAAGCCUGACGGAGCAAUACCGCGUGAGGGAAGAAUGCCUAUGGUU